ensembl:misc_RNA 7SK 7SK RNA
GGAUGUGAGGGCGAUCUGGUUGGGACAUCUGUCACCCCAUUGAUCGCCAGGGUUGAUUCAGCUGAUCUGGCUGGCUAGGCAGGUGUCCCUUUCCUCCCUCACCGCUCCAUGUGCAUCCCUCCCGAAGCUGCACGCUCAGUCGAAGAAGACGACCAUCCCCAAUAGAGGAGGACAGGUCUUCGGUCAAGGGUAUACGAGUAGCUGCGCUCCCCUGCUAGAACCUCCAAACAAGCUCUCAAGAACUUGGCAUGUUCUCUGUGAUGACCUAGAGAGGUAGGAUGGCAGAGCAGGGAGGUUCAAGAGAGAGGGGAUAUAUGUAUACUUAUAGCUGAUUCGCUUUGUUGU